GGCGAUGAUGAUCAAUGCUUAAUUUCUGACACCUCUUGUAUGAGAAGAGAUUGAUAACCUCUUCUUUGAGCACAUUAUGCAAUAUUCUGAGCC
rnacentral:snoRNA from 1 species